rnacentral:rRNA from 1 species
GACGAACGCUGGCGGCGUGCUUAACACAUGCAAGUCGAACGGUAAGGCCCUUCGGGGUACACGAGUGGCGAACGGGUGAGUAACACAUGGGUGAUCUGCCCUGCACUUCGGGAUAAGCCUGGGAAACUGGGUCUAAUACCGGAUAGGACCACUGCCUGCAUGGGUGGUGGUGGAAAGCUUUUGCGGUGUGGGAUGGGCCCGCGGCCUAUCAGCUUGUUGGUGGGGUGAUGGCCUACCAAGGCGACGACGGGUAGCCGGCCUGAGAGGGUGACCGGCCACACUGGGACUGAGAUACGGCCCAGACUCCUACGGGAGGCAGCAGUGGGGAAUAUUGCACAAUGGGCGCAAGCCUGAUGCAGCGACGCUGCGUGAGGGAUGACGGCCUUCGGGUUGUAAACCUCUUUCAGCACCGACGAAGCGCAAGUGACGGUAGGUGCAGAAGAAGGACCGGCCAACUACGUGCCAGCCGCCGCAGUAA